AGUCGAGGGGCAGCACAGGGUAGCAAUACCUGGGUGGCGACCGGCAAACGGGUGCGGAACACGUACAGAACCUUCCUUCGAGCGGGGAAUAGCCCAGAGAAAUUUGGAUUAAUACCCCAUAGUAUAGUGGUGUGGCAUCACACUGUUAUUAAAGAUUUAUCACUUGAAGAUGGCUGUGCGUAUGAUUAGGUAGUUGGCGGGGUAACGGCCCACCAAGCCUACGAUCAUUAACUGGUGUGAGAGCACGACCAGUCACACGGGCACUGAGACACGGGCCCGACUCCUACGGGAGGCAGCAGUAAGGAAUAUUGGUCAAUGGACGCAAGUCUGAACCAGCCAUGCCGCGUGGAGGAUGAAGGUCCUCUGGAUUGUAAACUUCUUUUAUCUGGGACGAAAAAAGGCUUUUCCAAGUCGUCUGACGGUACCAGAUGAAUAAGCACCGGCUAACUCCGUGCCAGCAGCCGCGGUAAUACGGAGGGUGCAAGCGUUAUCCGGAUUCACUGGGUUUAAAGGGUGCGUAGGCGGGCGAUUAAGUCUGUGGUGAAAUCUCUGAGCUUAACUCGGAAACUGCCAUGGAUACUAUUUGUCUUGAAUGUUGUGGAGGUGAGCGGAAUAUGUCAUGUAGCGGUGAAAUGCUUAGAUAUGACAUAGAACACCAAUUGCGAAGGCAGCUCACUACACAAAUAUUGACGCUGAGGCACGAAAGCGUGGGGAUCAAACAGGAUUAGAUACCCUGGUAGUCCACGCCCUAAACGAUGGAUACUCGACAUACGCGAUACACAGUGUGUGUCUGAGCGAAAGCAUUAAGUAUCCCACCUGGGAAGUACGACCGCAAGGUUGAAACUCAAAGGAAUUGACGGGGUCCGCACAAGCGGUGGAGCAUGUGG
rnacentral:rRNA from 1 species